UGCAAGUGGAACGCUUGUUUGUCACCGGAGCUUGCUCCACCGACAAACAAGAGUCGCGAACGGGUGAGUAACGCGUGGGGAAUCUGCCUCUUAGCGGGGGACAACCUUUGGAAACGAAGGCUAAUACCGCAUAACAAUGAUUGCGACAUCGCGAUUAUUUGAAAGUAACUAUUGUUACACUAAGAGAUGAUCCCGCGUUGGAUUAGCUAGUUGGUAAGGUAAAGGCUUACCAAGGCGAUGAUCCAUAGCCGACCUGAGAGGGUGAUCGGCCACAUUGGGACUGAGACACGGCCCAAACUCCUACGGGAGGCAGCAGUAGGGAAUCUUCGGCAAUGGGGGCAACCCUGACCGAGCAACGCCGCGUGAGUGAAGAAGGUUUUCGGAUCGUAAAACUCUGUUGUAAGAGAAGAACGUCAGUGAGAGUGGAAAGUUCACUGAGUGACGGUAUCUUACCAGAAAGGGACGGCUAACUACGUGCCAGCAGCCGCGGUAAUACGUAGGUCCCGAGCGUUGUCCGGAUUUAUUGGGCGUAAAGCGAGCGCAGGUGGUUAUUUAAGUCUGGUGUAAAAGGCAAUGGCUCAACCAUUGUAAGCAUUGGAAACUGGAUGACUUGAGUGCAGUAGAGGAGAGUGGAAUUCCAUGUGUAGCGGUGAAAUGCGUAGAUAUAUGGAGGAACACCGGAGGCGAAAGCGGCUCUCUGGACUGUAACUGACACUGAGGCUCGAAAGCGUGGGGAGCAAACAGGAUUAGAUACCCUGGUAGUCCACGCCGUAAACGAUGAGUGCUAGCUGUUUGGAGCUAUAAGUUCUAAGUAGCGCAGCUAACGCAUUAAGCACUCCGCCUGGGGAGUACGACCGCAAGGUUGAAACUCAAAGGAAUUGACGGAAUC
rnacentral:rRNA from 1 species